rnacentral:tRNA from 1 species
GGCUGCGUAGCUCAGUGGUAGAGCAGCGGACUCAUAAGCCGUUAGUCACUGGUUCGAAUCCAGUCGCAGCCA